UCAGCAUACAAUAAUCCCGCUCAUGUGGAGCCGAGGCUUUUCCAGUGAGGACUCAUUUGAGGGAAGAGGGAUUGUAUUGCUCUCCGUCUGAGAGACCCGAACGCGAGCGCGGCUGACCCACAUCAUUACCCUGAACAUGAACAAAUGUUUACAGUGUCUGCUGUUGAUGGAUGGUGUGCUGCUCUGGCUGUAGCUGCAGUGUACGGCGCUGGCUUCUGAAGCUGACAUCAUCAAGGCCGCAUAAAUUUCAACCAGUAGGUGCCCUCGAUGUUUCAGUAGGGGGUUGGUUCUUCACAAUUA